GCACAAGCGUUCAAUUAGGGUUGAUGUGGGCCGCAGAUAAAUCACAGCCCAUAGAAGACAGGCCCGCCCUUUCUGCAUCAAAAGUCCAAAAAGAAAAAGGUUCACCGCUUCGGAGGUUCAGUGCUGACUGCUGAAAGAACCUUUAGCCGGAGCAAGCAAGGCAAGAACCGCACUAGCUCACUCCCUAUUCAAAUUGCAUCCAUGGAACGAGUCACAGAGCGAGCAAUGCUUCAAAACGACGACAUCCGCAUCGUUUCCUCUUCUAUCAAAAUCCCUCUUCCUCACAAACGCCCAACCUGUCCCCUGCGAACCGCACAUUCUCACUUCGUCAACGCCUCGAACUCGAUUGCGCAACUCUUCAACUCGUUCGCCGCUCACUCCACCGAGUUGACUCGCUCCGUGGUGCGAAAUUCGUCGCUCCUGUGCUCGGCGACGCUGUCCUUUACCGGCGAGAGGAGAGGAAAGUGUCCGAUUCAGCGUCUGGCGUCUCUGUCUCUGGCGGAUAUUGAGGCGCAGCAGAAGGCGCGGCAGAACGAGGAGAGAGUGCUGAUAAGCGAAGUGCUGGUUCGAAACAAAGACGGCGAGGAAUUGGAGAGGAAGGACCUCGAAGCGGAAGCGGUGCAGGCUCUCAAGGCUUGUCGACCUAACUCGGCUCUAACAGUGCGCGAGGUACAAGAGGAUGUGCAUCGCAUCAUCAACAGCGGAUAUUUUUCGUCGUGCAUGCCGGUUGCGGUUGACACACGCGACGGUAUCCGAUUAGUAUUUCAGGUAGAACCAAAUCAAGAGUUCCAAGGGUUGGUAUGUGAAGGAGCUAAUGUUCUCCCAGCUAAAUUUUUAGAGAAUUCGAUGCGAGAUGGAUAUGGGAAAAUCAUCAAUUUGAGACGAUUGGAUGAAGCAAUAUCUUCCAUUAACAACUGGUACAUGGAGCGUGGUCUUUUUGCCAUGGUUUCAGCUGUUGAGAUUCUCUCUGGGGGUAUUCUGAGAUUACAAGUGUCAGAGGCUGAGGUCAAUAAUAUUUCCAUACGGUUUCUUGACAGGAAGACAGGUGAGAUUACUAUGGGGAAGACAAAGCCUGAAACAAUACUUCGGCAAAUUACAACCAAGAAGGGACAGGUCUACAGCAUGCUUCAGGGAAAAAGAGACGUAGAAACUGUACUAACUAUGGGGAUCAUGGAAGAUGUUAGCAUUAUUCCCCAACCAGCAGAUACAGGAAAAGUUGAUUUAGUGAUGAAUGUGGUAGAACGUCCCAGUGGAGGAUUUUCUGCUGGUGGUGGGAUAUCAAGUGGGAUUACAAAUGGUCCACUAAGGGGGCUCAUUGGAAGCUUUGCCUAUUCUCACAGGAAUGUCUUCGGUAAAAACCAGAAGCUCAAUAUUUCCUUAGAGAGGGGCCAGAUUGACUCAGUCUAUCGUAUAAACUACACAGACCCAUGGAUUCAAGGAGAUGAUAAACGAACAUCUAGAACAAUAACAAUUCAGAAUUCAAGAACUCCUGGAACCAUUGUUCAUGGUAAUGAAGAUGGUAACCGUAGCCUUACCAUUGGCCGCAUCACUGGUGGUAUAGAGUUUAGCCGACCACUCAGGCCGAAGUGGAGUGGAACAGCUGGACUUGUUUUCCAGCAUGCUGGAGUCCGUGAUGAGAAGGGUAUUCCUAUCAUUAAAGAUUGUUACAGCAGUCCUCUUACUGCUAGUGGCAAUACCCAUGAUGAUACGUUGCUUGCUAAGCUUGAGACUGUUUACACUGGUUCUGGCGACCAUGGGUCUUCUAUGUUUGUCCUUACCAUGGAACAGGGACUUCCUGUUUUGCCUGAAUGGUUGUCCUUCUCUAGGGUGAAUGCACGUGCUAGGAAGGGUGUUGAGAUAGGUCCUGCCCGCCUUCAUUUAAGUCUCUCUGGUGGUCACGUUGUGGGAGAAUUCUCUCCCUAUGAAGCUUUUGCCAUUGGUGGAACAAACAGUGUGAGAGGAUAUGAAGAAGGUAGUGUGGGCUCAGGUCGAUCAUAUGUUGUUACCUCUGGAGAAGUUUCUUUCCCCAUGAAAGGGCCAGUAGAAGGUGUUUUAUUUUCAGACUAUGGAACUGAUCUUGGAUCAGGCCCAACUGUACCUGGUGACCCUGCUGGAGCAAGGAAGAAGCCUGGCAGCGGAUAUGGCUACGGGUUUGGCAUCCGUGUGGAAUCACCUUUGGGUCCUUUGCGUCUUGAAUAUGCCUUUAACGACAAGAAAGAGAGGAGGUUUCAUUUCGGAGUGGGGCAUAGAAACUAACAUCGGGAGACAAUUCGUACUAGGUGCUUCUUGAUCGUUGUAAAUAAUCCUCCCUCUUUCCCUUUAGCUCGCAUACCUUUCCUUAUUCGGGAAAUUUGUAUAUUAUUUUUCAAAAAACAAAAAUUACUCAAAUGCCUCGAUCCUCUCUAUAAAUGUUUCUAAUAGCUACUCCCUCUUUUUUUCAUUGUCA